rnacentral:lncRNA from 1 species
AGAAGCCUGGGAGCUGCCUUGAAGGAAAAGGUGCCUCCCAGGCCAGGCAGGGGCCCUGGAGGUGUGCUCAGCCUUGUGGGAGGGCAGCCCUGGCAGGUGGAAGGAGUGUGCUGACUCCUGCCCUGCCCACCUCCCAGAGCUGUGACGUGGGCUCAGGAAGACACAUGUCAGCCCUGGAAAUGGGCUGUGACUAGGGGUGGAGAGAAGAUGGAAGAAGGUUCCUCCCAUGCUUCUCCUCUCUCUCCAGGUGCUCCAUGGACACUCAUGUCGCCAUUCACCUAUUAAGGAUGUGCUCUUUCCCAAGGAGAGGGAGCUCUGUUGCCUCCUUCCCACAGAAUCACUCUGUGCAAACCUCUUCCCCUCCUUGGCCCCAGUCUCCCCAAUUCUAAAAUCGGAUACUGGAUAAAAUGCCACGGAAGAACCUAGGGAUGCACCAGGAACCACGCGCCUGAAUGCCACAGGUUUGAUUUGAUGCAACUGCAGCUCUGUAAGCAAAUCUGAGACGUGUUCACAUGUGGCAGCUGUGCAUGGGUGAGGGGGCCUUCAGGAAGGUAUGUGCCAGUGUGUACCCCAUGCAUGGAUGUGUGUCUGAGGGCCUCCAUGUGUGUGCAGUUGUGUGAGUGCAUAUGUGUGAUGGUUUGCAUGAGAACAUGGCAUCUAUACAUCAUGUGUAGAUACAUGUGUGUUUACGGAUGGAUGUGAAAGCAUGUAUGUGUGAGUGCAUGGUGAGGUGUAUGUGAACCUGUGAGCAGUGCUCCUCACCAUCACCCUCCUGUUACAAUCACUGUGGAGCAGGGGAGUGGAGGGGGAGUAGGCAGCUUCCUGCCCAGGCUCCUGCUCCAUCUGCCCUCUCUGUCACAGCCUGAGGAGCAGGAGCCUUGUUCUGGGCCCAGUGACCACUGUCAGCUGUUAACACGCACACAGGUCCCUCUGCCUGAACAAAACAGACAUGUCCAGUGGCAGGACUCAUCUGACAACACAGACCCACACCCCUCCCCACCCCAGAGGCUCAGAACAGUGUCCACUAGAGUUGGAAGUGGCUCUAAAUCUGCUACACACCUCCAGCCUCCAAUAACAAGUGGCCACCAGCAAAGGCAGGGAGGCAUCAGCGGUGAGUACCCAGGUUUCCCCCAGAGCAUCCGAGUGGGAGGGAAUUUGGCUUGGCAAAAUCUUCCAACAACUCCCAGAGCCUGAACAACCUUUUCCCAGCCCCAGGUGGGUGGAAGAACACAGCCUGCUGCCUCAUCACCAUGGAGACAGGCAGUAGAGAGGGUGGUUAAAAGCAUGGGCCCAGACCUCCUGGGGUUCAAAUCUCAGCUCCUCCACCCACAGGCUGUGAGACUUUGACAAUUCACUUAAAUUCCUUAUGCCUUAGUUUCCUCAUCUGUAAAACAGAGAUAAGAAAAGUAUGAACUUCACAGGAUUGUUUAUAGGAUUAAAUACUCCAUAUGGCGCAUUUAGCACAGUGCUGGGCAGCUGAACUGGGAGGCAUAAGCCCUGGGUUCCAGCCCUAGCUUUGCCACCAACUUACUGUGUGAGUUUGGACAAGUCACUUGCCAUCUCUGGCACUCAGAGUCUCCAUCUGCACAACAAUCUCAAGAAACGCUACCAGUUAUGACCAGCUGAGACUUUGGGGAGGGCAGCUUAGCAUGGGGCUGUCUUGGUGAGCUGGGGGCCCUAGUGUUGGCUGAGGCCUGAUCAUGAGCUCUACACUACCCUUUCCUCCCCAGAUCUAUUUUCCCAAAUUGGCAGCAGCUGAUGGCAUCUCUCUGUACCCUCUAUCCCUCUAGCCUGCCCACAGGGCCCUGUGUUGCCCUGCUCAGCUGGUACUCAGGCCUUGGAGAAAUGGCACUGGUACCCACUGACCCCAAACAAAGGUAUCUGCAGUGCCCAAAGCAGAAGAUAUAGUGGCUCAUACUUAAACCUGCCUGUGAGCCCUCUAGAGAGGCAGGUACAAUUGCGGAAGGAUGGAUGUAAUUGUUUGAAGAUGCUCAUAAUCCUUCGGCGGUAAUGGCAGGAAGCUUUAAAAUGAAGCCCUAAUCCGCUAAUAACCUGGCAGCCCCACAGCCUUCUUCCCUCCUGAUCUCCAGGAAGGGAGAAGGAACUCUAGCCACUCCCUUUCCCAAGGGAGCAGAAAGGCAAGUGUGGGCUCUGACCCAAGACCACCGGAUUUUGACUCUCCUGCAAGACCCAGCUUCCUUCCUGCCUCCAUCUCCAAGAAGUCUUCCCUGCCCAUUUCAUCCUUCUGAAGUCUUUUCUGCCCCCUCUGUCCCUAGAAAUAUUCUAGGACAGAACUGGAUGACAGACUGGCUGGACAGUAAAGAAAGGAAUGAGGCCUGGUGCGGUGGCUCACGCCUAUAAUCCCAGCACUUUGGGAGGCCGAGGCAGGCAGACCGCCUGAGGUUAGGAGUUCGAGGCCAGCCUGGCCAACAUGGUGAAAUCCCAUCUCUACUAAAAAUACAAAAAUUAGCUGGGCAUGGUGGCGGGCACCUGUAAUCCCAGCUACUUGGGAGGCUGAGGCAGGAGAAUUGCUUGAACCCGGUAGGCGGAGGUCGCAAUGAGCCGAGAUCAUGCCACUGCACUCCAGCCUGGGCGACAGAGCAAAAUA